rnacentral:lncRNA from 1 species
GAGAGGAGGAUGAUCUAGGGUCUCGAUUGUUAUGUUUAUGAAUAUGUUAAUUGUUGUUGGAACCUGGUUUAGAGGCAUGCUAGGUUGCUGGUGUAAAUUGUGGUUAUUGAAUGAUUGAUUAAUUAAUAUUAUGAUUAAUUGAUGUUGGUUUAAUAUGUUUCCGCUGUGCAUGAUGAUUUAUUGUUGGGUUAAUUCGGUUAGGUUAAUUAGUAGGUAUGGGACUAUUGAUUAAUGCAAAAAAAAAAAAAAAAACGGGUCGGGUCAUUUCAGGUUGAUUCGUGAGUACGACAAUGGUGUGCAACUGGAAGUAUGACUAAAUGUGGAAGGUGAC